rnacentral:rRNA from 1 species
GUAGGGAAUAUUGGGCAAUGGAUGCAAGUCUGACCCAGCCAUCCCGCGUGCCGGAAGAAGGCCCUCAGGGUUGUAAACGGCUUUUGACGGUGAAGAAUCGACAGGAUGCGUCCUGUUUUGACGGUAGCCGUUGAAUAAGCACCGGCUAACUCCGUGCCAGCAGCCGCGGUAGUACGGAGGGUGCGAGCGUUGUCCGGAUUUAUUGGGUUUACAGGGUGCGUAGGCUGGCAGGUCAGUCAGCGGUGAAAAGCUGUCGCUUAACGAUAAGCUUGCCGCAGAUGCUUCCUUUCUUGGAUGAGGAGGAGGCCACUGGAACGGAUGGUGUAGCGGUGAAAUGCAUAGAUAUCAUCCAGAACACCGAUUGCGAAGGCAGGUGGCUGUACCUUAAUCGACGCUGAUGCACGAAAGCAUGGGGAGCAAACAGGAUUAGAAACCCCAGUAGUCC